GACGAAGGUGGCGAGCGUUGUUCGGAAUCACUGGGCAUAAAGCGCACGUAGGCGGCGGCGUAAGUUGGAUGUGAAAUCCCCCGGCCCAACCGGGGAACUGCGUCCAGUACUGCGUUGCUUGAGGAUCCAAGGGGUGCAUGGAAUUCCCGGUGGAGCGGUGAAAUGCGUUGAUAUCGGGAGGAACACCUGUGGCGAAAGCGGCGCACUGGACCACAACUGACGCUGAGGCGCGAAAGCUAGGGGAGCAAACAGG
rnacentral:rRNA from 1 species